UAGUCUGAUAUAACUGCCCUCCACAGACCAUCUCCCUCAGCCAAGACAAACACUCUGAGUCUGUGCUCCUACUUUUACAUAACCUUAGAAGACUCCAACAAUGAGAGUUCUAAAAUGUGUGUUCCUUCUUGCUCUCAUCUCAGUUGUUCAGGGACAGUCACUCACCUCCUCUGAGUCAGUGGUGAAGAGCCCUGGAGAGUCAGUAACACUGUCCUGUACUGUGUCUGGUUUCUCCAUGGGUAGCUACUACAUGCACUGGAUCCGUCAGAAACCAGGGAAAGGAGUAGAUUGGAUUGGCCACAUUGACACUAGCACUGGCACUGUAUUUGCUCAGUCCCUCCAGGGCCAGUUCACCAUCACCAAAGACAACUCCAAAAACCAGUUGUACUUAGAGGUGAAAAGCCUGAAGACUGAAGACUCUGCUGUUUAUUAUUGUGCCAGAGACACAGUGACACAGGAGGCUGAAGCACCGUACAAAAACUGA